AUGGGAAAGAGGAAAGCAAAAACAAAGCCUCCUCCAAGGAAACGAAUGGAUAAACUUGACACUUCCUUCAGUUGCCCUUUCUGUAAUCAUGGCAGCAGCGUUGAAUGCCGCAUUGACAUGAAGAACUUGAUAGGAGAAGCUUCUUGCAGUAUUUGCCAAGAGAACUUUAGCACUACUAUCAACGCUUUAUCCGAGGCAAUAGAUAUAUACAGUGAGUGGAUUGAUGAAUGCGAACUGGUGAACAACCAGGAAGAUGAUGGUGCUUAG